AGGGCUUGAAAUAUAGGGAAAAGCUGCAGAGAUGUAGUGUCCUUCGGGGCCCUAUACAGGUGGUGCAUGGUUGUCGUCAGCUCGUGCCGUGAGGUGUUGGGUUAAGUCCCGCAACGAGCGCAACCCCUAUCCUAUGUUGCCAGCGAGUCAUGUCGGGGACUCAUAGGAGACUGCCGGUGUCAAACCGGAGGAAGGUGGGGAUGACGUAACACAGACUAUAC
rnacentral:misc_RNA from 1 species